rnacentral:rRNA from 1 species
UACGGAGGGGGCUAGCGUUGUUCGGAAUUACUGGGCGUAAAGCGUACGUAGGCGGCUUUGUAAGUUAGAGGUGAAAGCCCGGGGCUCAACUCCGGAAUUGCCUUUAAGACUGCAUCGCUAGAAUUGUGGAGAGGUGAGUGGAAUUCCGAGUGUAGAGGUGAAAUUCGUAGAUAUUCGGAAGAACACCAGUGGCGAAGGCGACUCACUGGACACAUAUUGACGCUGAGGUGCGAAAGCGUGGGGAGCAAACAGG